ensembl:lncRNA
ACUGGACUUGUCAAAGAUCACAUCACUCCUUUUUAUUAGAGAACAAAAGUAGGUAUAUAGCCUCCACCCAUGGUACAUAAAUAGUUCAAUUAAACAUGCUUUGAUGCUACAGCCAAUGAGAUUGUUUUUGACAAAGUAAGAUAGAAUCAAUUCCUUUACAAACUGUGGGAAAUUAACUAAAUUGUACUAAACUUGUAAGUCCUUUUCUUCCUUCCUCUACUCCAAGUGAAUCUAUAUAAACUUUUCUCAAUGACAGAAAUAUUGCAGAGAGAGUUCAAUAUAAAAGACAAAGGUUGAAUUUUAUAGCAGAUAUUUUCCAGCCUAAGUGUUAGAGAAGAAUAAAAAUCUUCUUAUAAUGUAAUUUUGCACAUACAUUUUCUGUGUAAUCUAGGAAUAAUAGUAGCUUUAGUCACAAAAAUUCAAUUGAAUGUGACUGAUGUUGAACUCCAAGCAACAGCAGAUCAAAGGAUUAUGAAUUCUUCACAGUCAGUAUAAAAUCAUGAGAAAAUAAUGUAAUCAUUCUGACAUUGUUGAAAAUAAGAGAUAAAGGGCACAUGACUUACAACCAGGAUGAUAAAUGGAGGGCUGAAUCUAGACAAGAAUAAGACAGAGCUUUCCCAUAAUACAUCUGAACAAGAGUCUCAUCAUUUCGUGGUAAUGAAAAAUUAAAAGUUAAUACAAGUUUGUAUCAUCAAAAUUACAAAUGCAUAAUCACUUUGAACUGGGCUAUGAAUUACAGGAAUUGACAUAUAUGCAUCAUCAUCCACUGCAGCAUUCCUGAAACAACAAAGAUUGGAAACAAACCAGACUUCCAUCAAAGGGUUUCUAUAUCCAUACAACAGAAUACUAGUACCUAUAAGAAAGAGUAAGGAGUCUCUGGAUGUACAUCUUAGCCAGCUUGGGCUACUAUAACAGAAUGCCACAGACUGGCUUAAACAGUGGAAAUUUAUUUCUCACAGUUUUGGAAGCUGGGAAGUCCAAGAUCAAGGUACCAGUAGAUUUGAGUUUUGGUGAGGGCCCUUUUCCUGGCUUAUGGUCAGCCAUCUUUUCACUGUAUCCUCACAUGGUGGGGAGAGCGUGACCUCUGGUCUCUUUCUCUUCUUACAAGGACACUUAUAAGGCACCAUUCUCAUAAUCUCAUCCAAAUCUAAUUAACCCCCAAAGGCUCCACCGCCAAAUAGCAUCACAUUGGGAGUUAGAGCUUCAGCAUAUGAAUCGGGGCACAGCAUUAAGUCCCUAGCAGAAGUAGAUAAGGAAAACUUUCCAAGAUUUAUUAAAUGAAAAGAAAAAGCAAUGUGCAAAACCAUUUUAUAGACUGCAAUGUGUUUAAAAGUUCGAGCAAAAUUAGAAUAUGCAUUGAUUUUUUCGUUGUUACAAAUUUGUGACAAAAUUCUGCACCCAUUAAUGAUACAAUUUUCAAUAAACUAGAACUAAAAGGAAAAUUAUUUCACUAGGUAAAAAUACUCUAAAAAAGACUUUAUAGUUAAUAUAAACUUAAUGGUGAAAAACUAAAUUCUCUCCCCACCCCCCUGUUAAGAUCAGGAACAAACCAAAGAUGCCUAAUCUCACCCCUAAUAAUAAAUAUUAUACUAAAAGUAAUAAGGCAAAAAAAUAAAAGUAUAAACAUAUAAAGGGAAGAGACAAAACUUUUCAUUCACAAAUGAAAUGCCUGAGUAAUGAAAUAGAGAAAUCAAUAAAGAAAACUAUGAGAACUCAUAAGUGAAUUUAGCAGGCUAUAACCUAUGAAAAAAGAUAAGAAUAUGUAAAAUCAAUUGUAUGAGUACAUGCUCUCAAAAACAACUGGAAAUUCAAAAUAUAAAAUUACAGUGGUAGCAUAGCCAUAAAGUACUAGGAUAAGCUUAGCAAAAUAUAUAAAAGACCUGUACCUGAAAAUUAGAAAACAUUAAAAGCAAUUAAAGAAGUGUGAAAUAAAUGGAUUGGCAUACCGUAUUUAUUGACAGGAAGAUUCACUAUUGUUAAGCUGUCAAAUUUGCCUAAAUUUUUCUAUAGAUUCAAUGUAAUCUCAACCAAAAUACAAGCAAGGCUUUUGAAAAAAUGAACAAACUAAUUCUAAAAUUCUUAUGACAAUAUAAAGGAACUAAACUAGUAGAACCAGAACAAUUUUUUAAAGAAUGAACAAAGUUAAAAAGUUUAUUCUGCCUGAUUUCUAUCCAUACUAUCAAAGUUCAAUGAUACAGACAGUGUGCUGUUGAUGUAAGGUUAGACAUAUAGAUUAAUUAAACAGCAUAAAGAAUCUAGAAAUAAACUCACAUAUAUAUGGUCAAUUGAGUUUUUUACAAAGAUUCCAAGGCAAUCCAAUGCAGAAAGGGCAAUCUUUUCAACAGAUGUUACUGGAACAAUGGAAUAGCCAUAUUUAAAAAAUAAUAAUAAAUAAAGGAGUCUUGACUCUUACCUCAUGCCAUAUACAAAAUUAACUUGGAAUCUGUCAUAGGCCUAUUAUAAGAGCUGAAACUAUAUAACUUUUAGUAGAAAACAGGAGAAAUAUCUGCUCUAUUGGACGAGGCAAAGACUUUUUAGUUUUCAUACAAAAAGGAAAACAUUUUUUCUAAGAUAAAAAAUUGACAAGUUAGACUUCACUGAAAUUUUAAACUUCUGCUCUUUGAAAGACAUUGCUAAAAAUAAACUAAAAAGCAAUCCACAAUAGGGAAAAUUCACAAUACAUAUAUCUGACAAAACACUUAUAUUCACAAUAUGUAAAUACCUUUUACAACUCAGUAAGAAAACAACUAAAGUAAAAAUGGACAAAUGGAGGUAGGCCUGGGUGUAUUGAUUACAAGGGGCAAGAGAGAAUUUGGGGGAGAAUUGAUGUGUUUUAUGACUUCAGUUAGAGUGGUUGUUACAUAGAUGUGUAAGCAUAUUUCAAAACCAACCAAUUGUACAUUUCAGAUGAGUAUAUUUCACUUUAUGUGAAUCAUAUUGCAAAAUAAGAUUUUUUAAAAAAAAUACAAAAUGAGGAAGCAAAGCAUGAAGAUGGGAAGAAACAGUAACCAAGGAUAAGAGAAAGCCCAGAGGAAUGUGUUUAUUUGGACACUCUUGAACAUUACCUAAAUACUCGUGGCCACACCUCUUACUACAGCUGCUGCAGCAGGGACCAGCAGUGUGCAUUCUUUGACCAGCUUUGCAAGUCUCACCUCAGCCUGUGCUCUGGUCCCAUAACUUCUUUUUUUUCUCUGACACACUGAACCAGCUUGAAAGUAGAGGGAAAUUAAUGUUCAUAGAGCUAUUCUUACCAUUAAAAUUAGGGUAUGACAGACAAUAAAUAAAUGUAGUCAAUUUCAAAAUGCAUUAUCUAAGCUCCCAUAGAGACAGCCAACCUAAUAAUAUACUUUGUGUUGGCUUUUUCUCAUUUCUUGUUUUAUUCUUCUGGUUCCUUUCUCCUUCCCUGGGAUCAUUUCACAAUAAACUACCUUCAUGCCAGCUCCACUUUCAUGCUCUGCUUCCAGGGGAACACAAGCUAGGGCACAGUAGGAAGUUAGGUUAUAGUUAAAAAAUGAUAAUAGAUAAAAAGUAUUAUGUACUCACUAUGUGCUAAACACUAAGAUUUCUACAUACAUUAACAUAUUUAAAUCUAACAACAAUCCCAUUUUCUAUAUGAGAAAACUGAAGCAGGAAAAGAUAGUAAGUGGGUAGGAAAGUGGUCAACACUGACAAAUGCUACUAAAAAUUAUGAAAUUCAGAGGAAUUUACACAUAGGCUAUUAUUGAUGAAAUUCAUGAAAGACUUCAGUGGAGUAAUGGGAAUAGAAUCCAGAUUUGAGGAAAUUUUUUAACCUUAACUGAAGAUCAGUCCUCAAUUGUGCAGAAAUAUGAACAUCAUAACCCUUGGAAAAAUAGCAAGAAAUACUGUGGUGGAUAAGCUUGGAUACACUGAACAAAGCCUUCAUAUCCACUCAGAUUCUAAACUUCUCUAAAUCUCUUCCACACAGUGAAUUUAAUAUCAAGAAUUUGAGUUCUCAAUAUCAAAUUUUAGUAAAGGAAUUUUUUUCUGGGACUUCCAAAUAUAUGGGUACUGUAGUUGAGUAAAAUGAAACAAUAAUAAAAUGUGUUAUUGAUGUAGGAGAAGUAGGAUUCAAUACAGUAGUGGUUAGAAGAAAUCCAAAUAUAUUCUAGCCAACUUUGACGAACUUACCCCCAUUUAUCAUGAUUGAACAUUUGUAUCCAGAGUGAAUUCACCAAAUAUUUCGUAUUUUGGUUUUGUUUGCAGUAAUGCUGGAUUGUAUACUAUUGUUUCUCCACAAAUGCUUAAGAAAAAAUAAUAAAAGAACAUGGAGUCCAAAAAAGGACUAUUGAUUUGAAAAAAAUUUAAAAAUCUAUUUAUCAUUUGUCAUUCUUUUGCUAUUCACAGGCCCCAUUUUUGGUCAUUGGUAAACUUCAAGACUUCAGAUUUCUGGCAAAUGAACAUGUAUCAUGUUCCUAAUGAAUUUUCAAGGUCAUGUUUAUUAAUGAUCUUUUCCUGCUGUUUAAUUCAAUAUGGUAGUGAUAAGCUACAUAGUUCAAAAUGCAACAAGUUCUAAACACUCAGUCUCAAAAUCUUGGCCCCUUGUUUUGGCUCUAACAAUGCAAAGUUCAGAUGUGAAAGUCGGCCAGCAUGUUCAAAUAAAAAUCUCAAUAAAUUAGACAGCAGUUGAUGUUCUUAGUAGACUCAUUGCAGUUAGCAUCUACCCACCAUCUCUGUUGGGAUGGCGCUCCAGCUAAUAUUCUCAUCUUAACAAGUGCUGUCAUUUAUCAGGUGUUCACUACAUUAAAAUUAAACUAAGCUCGAAAAAAUGAAAGCAAAAUUUCAUAGGAUGUCUGUAUACUCUAGAAAUAAGAAGAUGCUUUGCAGGAAUAAAUAUGUGCUGGCAACACAUCUCUUCUAUUUCAAGGACAAAAUUGAAACCAUAUUUCCACAGGGUGCAAACAUUGAUUGCUAUAUGUUCUUAUAAACAUAGAACUAAAAACAGUACUGCACCAUCCUCUUGAUUCCCUCUUUACUUUUAUGUGAAGUCCAAAAAUGUAUCAGUUAAAGGAGGCUUCUGAAUUCAAUUCAGAACACAGACAAGGAUUCAUAUGUCAAGAGUAGAAGCAGAGCAUACUUUAGGUAAGAGUAAAAACAAACAAAACACAGUUGUGUUUAAUUUGAAAGGUUCAAAACUAUUAUUCACUAAUAGGUAUAAAAAGAAUAAGCACAAAUUAUAGAUUAUCUCAAAGUUUCAUUUAAAGUGUGAGUUUUGUCCUUUCAUUUUUCUUCCUCCCUCCACAAAUGGUCAGGCCUGGUCAUUCAGUCCCAUGCAGCCAAAUUACUUCAUAAUCCCUCUCUACUUAAUUCCCUUCAGAAGCCUUAUCAUCACCUGCAAGGCACUGUAUUGUUUAACUCCUACCAUCCUUUGAAGCCUCAUCUUUUGCUACCCCUUCUUUCUCUAAUAAGCCCCAGCCACACUGAAUUUCUUUCAGUUCCAAAUGCUUGGGGGUGUUUCCUUUUAGGACAUGAGCAUGUUACUCCCUCUGUCUGAAAGACUAUUUCCAUUAGAGUUCACCUGGCUAAUUUGCAUGCAUUGGUCAGAUUUCAGUUUUUAUGUCACUUGAUCUACAGAGAUGACCCUCCCCCAUUAUGUCUGUCUCAAGAAUCUGUUACCAAAGUUCCUGUGCCCAACACACAGCGAGCCCAAAUAUCAAAACAUCGGAGUUUGGAACAGAGAACGGUUUAUUAGAGGGCCAAGCAAGAAGAAUGGGUGG